GUGGGGAAUAUUGGACAAUGGGCGAAAGCCUGAUCCAGCCAUGCCGCGUGUGUGAAGAAGGUCUUCGGAUUGUAAAGCACUUUAAGUUGGGAGGAAGGGCAGUAAGUUAAUACCUUGCUGUUUUGACGUUACCGACAGAAUAAGCACCGGCUAACUUCGUGCCAGCAGCCGCGGUAAUACGAAGGGUGCAAGCGUUAAUCGGAAUUACUGGGCGUAAAGCGCGCGUAGGUGGUUUUGUAAGUUGGAGGUGAAAGCCCCGGGCUCAACCUGGGAACUGCAUCCAAAACUGGCGAGCUAGAGUACGGUAGAGGGUGGUGGAAUUUCCUGUGUAGCGGUGAAAUGCGUAGAUAUAGGAAGGAACACCAGUGGCGAAGGCGACCACCUGGACUGAUACUGACACUGAGGUGCGAAAGCGUGGGGAGCAAACAGGAUUAGAUACCCCAGUAGUCC
rnacentral:rRNA from 1 species